rnacentral:lncRNA from 1 species
ACAACACAACUUUAGACACAAAUUAAAAUAAUACAAGCUUUAUAUUACAAGCCAGGGGCCUCGAGGGCUCGAAUACAUACCUCAAUACAGUAAGAGUUAGUGGAAGCAACAAUAUCUGAGUACAUACAUAAGUUAAACAAGGAUGCCUUAAGAAGGCUAGCACAAAAGCAACAUGAUGAUCAAAGAGGCAACGCCUCCUGCCUGGGACCUCCUAACUACUCCUGGUCAUUGCCGGUCUCCACGUAGUAGUAGGCACCCUCAGGGUAGUAGUAGAUGUCGGCGGUUGCAUCUGGCUCCCGGGAUCCACCAUCUGAUUGUAGCAACUAGGUAUAUGGGGAAAAGGAGGUAGCAAAGAAACCAUGAGUACUCAUCCAAAGUACUCGCAUGACUUACAUCAGAACUAUGCUAAGUGUGCAUCGGUAGCAAAUGGAAAGGUUGUAUCUUUUGGACUGAACUACAGAAUGCCAAAUGAGAGGGGAAACCCUAGCCUCUUGAAGACUAGCAUCUUCAAGCAUCUUGCAGCAUUCAGAAGAGUAUAGAAUAUCAUUUUCACAUUUAACAUGCAUGUUGUAAUAAUAAUGCCUAGACAUCCUUCCUCGACUCCCUGCGAGGAAGCAAUCCUGGAGCCAACAUAUCCAUCACAUAUCUCAAGUAACCAUUUCUAGUUGUAAUAGAUCAGGAUACCAUUUCGAGCGUCCAUUACCAUGGACACGGUAUUCGAAUAGAUAACUUCCUUGCAGGGUGCACCACAUUACCCAACAUGCUUGAUUACUCUAUCCAGACACACUCUCUUGGGUUGAUGCCCAACCUCGGAAGAUCAACAUGUUGUAGCCCUACCUAGGCUCAGCAAAGAGGUCCCCGUUGGUCUACAUCCUAAGUGCUCCGGGGUCUUGGGCCCAUCACCCAUUGCACUCCGGGUCGUUGUGUGUAGGGUGAAUACCAGCACCACCCCUAUAGUGGCACGAUCCGACCGUGCCACAAUGCUGAACUAGACGUCUGACAAAGCUUCGGCUGAUACUGCCACGCCGAGUGCCCAUAACUGUUCCCGCGUGGUGGUUAGUGCGUAAAGGCUAGUGGCCUACUCAGAACAAAUACCCAAACCCUUAGUGUAUUAGGAGCUCGCGGAGACGAGCAGAGACUCACGAUAAUAUGACCACGUCGCCCCAUCCGAGGAAAUAUAGCAAGGGCCUGGCUCAACCCUCUCUCUCUAGGGCGGUCUACCUGCCCGGCCAUGCCUCAUAAUUAUCUCGCGGGUGCUCUCUGGGCCCGCCCGACUUUCGCAUCAACUCACGGGUACCCAUUAGGGCCGACACGACUAACUAGAGACUGCUUUGAACUUAGGUCCACCUCUACCGGGAUGGUACCACCGGUCCCUUCAGUCCCGUAGUAAUAGAGCAUGGGUGGUAUAGGUAAAAGUAAUUGUGUGUUUGUAUCAUCAAGUUGGAAACCCGAGGAAUCACCCUCGAUGGAAUCCACUCGAUGUAAUCAUCAAGAUGAACUUAGGAGGAAUCACCCUCGAGGUUCACACUUGAGGUGUUGCACGACAGAGUCAUACCGGGAGUGGUGAAGGAGGAAUCGCCCUCGAUGACCACGACCGAAAUGCUACACUACAGAGUUAACAUCAGCAGUGCGUUACGAGGUAUCACCCUCAUCACUCGAUAGUAGCUCUGCAGAGUCGAGCAACAAAGGGGGUGUGAUGUGAUGUAUCAGGCUCUAGACGUCGAUCACGUUGAUUGAGUCAUCUGUCAUCAAGCCAAGGCAACUGGGGCAAGGUGAGGGGUCACUGAUGGAUCACUAACCAACCUAUACGAAGCAGUUUAGGAUAAGCAUGUUAGGUACAAUGAGCAGGUUACAAAAGUAGGCUAUGCAUAAAAAUAGGAGCAAUCAAUAACAGUAGCAAAAUCUAAUGCAAGCAUGAGAGAGAAUGGAAUGGGUGAUAUCGGAAUGGUCAAGGGGGUUUGCUUGCUUGGUUGCUCAGACGAGAAGGAUGGGUUGUCAUCUAUGGAGUCGAUCAUAGGGGUAGCGUCAGUCUCAGGGUCUACCGGAAAUAAGAUGGGGAAUACACAGUAAAUACAAAGCACACAAAUGCGUUACUAAGUAUGACAUGAUGAUAUGCGGUGCUAGGGAUGUUCUAACGUAGGGCUACACGAUUCUGGUGAAGGGGGAAAACAUCCGGCAAUGUUUUCCCGGUGUUUGGCAUUUUUGGACAAAUGAACCGAAGGGGGAAGGUUGCACGUGCACUUUGCUAGGGACGUGUGGUAGACGAAAGGAGUGCGUAUUCGGACUCAUUGGAUUUUUCUGAGCAACUUUCAUGUAUAAAUUAUUGUCAUCCGUUAUACGGUUUAAUUUAUAUGAAUUGUUGAAGUUUUAUUUUUUUUGAAAUUAAUAUUAAAUCUAAAAUGGAGUUAUUGCACCACAUGACCUCAUCAUGACGUCAUCAGUCAACUGAGUUGACUAAGGUCAACCCUGACGUGUGGGGUCGUUCUGUCAUAGACUGAUAACUAAUUAACAACUAGUUGGAGGUUAAUUAAAUUUAAUUAGUUAAAUAAUUAGACUUAAUUAAGUUAAUUGAUUAUUUAAUUAUUUAUUCUUAUUAGUAUCACAAUUAUUAUUUUUACACUUCUCUUUUUUGUUCAAAAACAGGCAUGGGCCCCGGUUGUCAUUGGCCUAGGGCGAACCGGGAGUGGGCUGAUGGGCGCCCGGCCUAACGGGCGCUGGAAUGAAGGCGAAGGCCGAGUGGGAAGGAACCAGGCGACGACCACACUAGCGGGCGCCGGUGGCGGCGGCAAAGGGUUCCUGUGGCUAGGGGCGGAGAGGCGCCACUAGGAGCACGCAACUACGGGGCGAGUGGGGAGGGGAGUACGGCGGCAGUGGUGAGCUGUGCGAAGGCGGCGGCGGUGGCCAGGAGAGGCUGGGAGGGGUCAGAAGGCAAUGGGCGGCGCCGGCAGAGGGCGGCCCGUGGGGCAGGUGAGCGGAUGCAGCCGGAGCAAGGGGGCUACAGGGGGGCAGCGACAAGUGCAGAUGGGGCGCGCAGGAUCUGGCGCAGGGGGAGGCUACAUGCGAUGUGCACGACGGUGGUGUAGAGGAGGGAAGGAGCAUCGACGGUCGAGGCAGGGCAGGGGACAGGCGCGAAGCCAGGCCAGUCGUGGGCACGGUCGGAUGGGCGCGAUGCGUGCGUGACCCUGACCCAAGGCUCGAGCUUAGCGGGAGCAAGGUGAGGCGGGGAAGUAAGGGGGAGGGGGCGCGCGCGGACUGCGAGGCGACGAGCGCGGUGUUCGCAAAGACCACGGGAGAGAGGAGGCGGAGGGAACGCUCACCCCCGUUUGUAGUUGAACUGGCGGUGAGGCUCAACGGAGCUGUCGAGGGAGAGGUGGGGAGGUGAGGUGACGGUGGC